GACAGAGGGUGCAAACGUUGUUCGGAAUUACUGGGCGUAAAGCGCGUGUAGGCGGCUCAGCAAGUCGGAUGUGAAAGCCCUGGGCUUAACCUAGGAAGUGCAUUCGAAACUUCUGAGCUUGAGUUCUGGAGAGGAAGGCGGAAUUCUCGGUGUAGAGGUGAAAUUCGUAGAUAUCGAGAGGAACACCGGUGGCGAAGGCGGCCUUCUGGACAGUGACUGACGCUGAGACGCGAAAGCGUGGGGAGCAAACAGG
rnacentral:rRNA from 1 species